UACGUAGGUGGCAAGCGUUGUCCGGAUUUACUGGGCGUAAAGGAUGCGUAGGUGGAUAUUUAAGUGGGAUGUGAAAUACCCGGGCUUAACUUGGGUGCUGCAUUCCAAACUGGAUAUCUAGAGUGCGGGAGAGGAGAGUGGAAUUCCUAGUGUAGCGGUGAAAUGCGUAGAGAUUAGGAAGAACACCAGUGGCGAAGGCGACUCUCUGGACCGUAACUGACACUGAGGAGCGAAAGCAUGGGGAGCGAACAGG
rnacentral:rRNA from 1 species